GACGAACCGUGCGAACGUUGCUCGGAAUCACUGGGCGUAAAGCGCACGUAGGCGGCUUUCUAAGUCAGGGGUGAAAUCCUGGAGCUCAACUCCAGAACUGCCUUUGAUACUGGAGAGCUUGAGUCCGGAAGAGGUGAGUGGAACUGCGAGUGUAGAGGUGAAAUUCGUAGAUAUUCGCAAGAACACCAGUGGCGAAGGCGGCUCACUGGCCCGGUACUGACGCUGAGGUGCGAAAGCGUGGGGAGCAAACAGG
rnacentral:rRNA from 1 species